rnacentral:siRNA from 1 species
AAAGUGAAGCGAACAAGUUAGCCU